UACCCUCACACUCUCUCUAAUAGAGAGAGCGGUGGAAUUGGAUGUUGCCUGAUACUUACUGUCAGGCUCAUCUAAAAUGAGUUAGUGCGACUCCUAGUUAAACAUAGUACGGCGUGAUAAGUAAAACCCUCGCUGUUUUCUGUCUGAUUAGGAGCUCUGUGCUUCAAACCGUCCUCGGACAAUAUCUGAUA
rnacentral:misc_RNA from 1 species